rnacentral:tRNA from 2 species
GCGCCCGUAGCUCAGCGGAUAGAGUGCCGGCCUGCGGAGCCGGAGGCCGCAGGUUCAAAUCCUGCCGGGCGCA